ACGGAACGGGCCCACUUCUUCGUCACCGCGCUCGCAGCCGAGGCGGCCGCCACCCGCCGUGACGGCGAUCUCGUGCAGGCGCCGCCCAAAUUCGUUGAGCUUGAUUCCACAUACCACUGCCGGUCCGGUGGAAGCCUCACGACCCUCACGUAUUUCCCUAUACCCUAGCGCCGCUAUUUGCCCCACCAUGCUACUACAUCUCAACAGCUAAACAGCUGGACGCCCUUGCUUGCUCGCCGGCGUCUCUGCUCCCCGCUCGAUUCAUUCGAGGUCCUCGUUUUCCUUUGAGAACAUGUACUACAGAAAGGGCAGAAUAGGAUGGAACUAAAUCAUGGCAAGAUCAUUAGGAAUUGAAGCAACAGGACUCUUUAGAGCAUCUCCAAGAGAUUAGCUAAAUCAUUUUCUAAAGGAGCACAAAUCAUUGACAUUUGCAGCUACUUUGGUUCCAGGCUCUACUAAUGCUGCUAUAGCAUACAGACAAGGAAGGGUUUCUUGCUAGGACCACGGAUGAUGCAACCUUAAUAAUCUCAAUGUCAAGAUGGUAAAGAAAAGCUGAUAGACCCAAACAAUCCUAGCUCAGUUGCCAAGUAACUUGUGUUCUGAGUCCCAGCCUAAAUAAAUUCCGUUUAUCUGGUAAUGUCAAAGGCUGAACCCACAGUGCCUCCCACCUUGUUCACACUGCGUGCAGUUGUAUAGGGCGCCAGGAAAAUCUUCCCCAUAAAUCCAAUCGAUGGUUGUCGUCCCUGAGAAAUCGAGUAUUGCUUCUGCUUGCUCCUUCAAUG